ensembl:snRNA U6 U6 spliceosomal RNA
GUGCUUGCUUAGGCAGCACAUAUACUAACAUUGGAACAAUACAGAGAUUAGCAUGGUCCCUGCAUAAGGUGACACGCCAACUCAAAGAAGGACAGCUGCUUCAC